rnacentral:lncRNA from 1 species
AGUGGAAGUUGAUUCCCUUCUCAUAAUUUGGUUUACAGUAAUGCUGUCAGAAGCAGAGGUUGAUUUCAUUCUAGAAAUUUGAUUUCCAGUAAUGGUGCCACUAGAAGCAGAGUUUGAUUCUCUUCUAGAAAUUCGGUUUCCAGUAAUGAUCCUCUCAGGGGUUAUGGUUGAUUCCUUUCUAGAAGUUUGGUUUCCAGUAAUGACCUUAUCAGGAUUGGACAUUAAUUCCGCUCUAGGAAGUUGAUCCCCAGUAACGAUCCC